UGGCUCAGAUUGAACGCUGGCGGCAUGCCUUACACAUGCAAGUCGAACGGUAACAGGUUAAGCUGACGAGUGGCGAACGGGUGAGUAAUGUAUCGGAACGUGCCCAGUCGUGGGGGAUAACUGCUCGAAAGAGCAGCUAAUACCGCAUACGACCUGAGGGUGAAAGCGGGGGAUCGCAAGACCUCGCGCGAUUGGAGCGGCCGAUAUCAGAUUAGGUAGUUGGUGGGGUAAAGGCUCACCAAGCCAACGAUCUGUAGCUGGUCUGAGAGGACGACCAGCCACACUGGGACUAAGACACGGCCCAGACUCCUACGGGAGGCAGCAGUGGGGAAUUUUGGACAAUGAGCGCAAGCCUGAUCCAGCCAUGCCGCGUGCGGGAAGAAGGCCUUCGGGUUGUAAACCGCUUUUGUCAGGGAAGAAAAGGUUCUGGCUAAUACCUGGGACUCAUGACGGUACCUGAAGAAUAAGCACCGGCUAACUACGUGCCAGCAGCCGCGGUAAUACGUAGGGUGCAAGCGUUAAUCGGAAUUACUGGGCGUAAAGCGUGCGCAGGCGGUUAUGCAAGACAGAGGUGAAAUCCCCGGGCUCAACCUGGGAACUGCCUUUGUGACUGCAUAGCUAGAGUGCGGCAGAGGGGGAUGGAAUUCCGCGUGUAGCAUUGAAAUGCGUACAUAUGCGGAAGGAACACCGAUGGCGAAGGCAAUCCCCUGGGCCUGCACUGACGCUCAUGCACGAAAGCGUGGGGGAGCAAACAGGAUUAGAUACCCUGGUAGUCCACGCCCUAAACGAUGUCAACUGGUUGUUGGGAGGGUUUCUUCUCAGUAACGUAGCUAACGCGUGAAGUUGACCGCCUGGGGAGUACGGCCGCAAGGUUGAAACUCAAAGGAAUUGACGGGGACCCGCACAAGCGGUGGAUGAUGUGGUUUAAUUCGAUGCAACGCGAAAAACCUUACCUACCCUUGACAUGUCUGGAAUCCUGAAGAGAUUUGGGAGUGCUCGAAAGAGAGCCAGAACACAGGUGCUGCAUGGCCGUCGUCAGCUCGUGUCGUGAGAUGUUGGGUUAAGUCCCGCAACGAGCGCAACCCUUGUCAUUAGUUGCUACGAAAGGGCACUCUAAUGAGACUGCCGGUGACAAACCGGAGGAAGGUGGGGAUGACGUCAGGUCAUCAUGGCCCUUAUGGGUAGGGCUACACACGUCAUACAAUGGCCGGGACAGAGGGCUGCCAACCCGCGAGGGGGAGCUAAUCCCAGAAACCCGGUCGUAGUCCGGAUCGUAGUCUGCAACUCGACUGCGUGAAGUCGGAAUCGCUAGUAAUCGCGGAUCAGCUUGCCGCGGUGAAUACGUUCCCGGGUCUUGUACACACCGCCCGUCACACCAUGGGAGCGGGUUCUGCCAGAAGUAGUUAGCCUAACCGCAAGGAGGGCGAUUACCACGGCAGGGUUCG
rnacentral:rRNA from 1 species